AUUAAAAAUUUAUCUGCAAUGGAAGUGAAUAUUGUUCGUCCAUUUAUUGGAAGAGCUUUACAAGCAUUUUACAAGCAUGAUACUCCAGAGUUAAUCCCUGACCCAGAGCGAGUUUCUGAAAGACGGCAGCAAGUUGCCCAGAAUGCCCCAAGAAGGCAACUCCGAAGAUAA